CAGGGAGACAAUAAAUUGAUUGUGAUGUCUAAGUUAUUUAUUCUUAGGCCGCAAUCCUGUCACCUUAAGGUCGAUCGGUACCUCAGAUUUUUGAAUUAGUUUUCAAUUGAUUCUUUGAUUUCAGUUCCUAAACUUGUCUAGGUCACACCCAACAAAGGUUUCUCCUGGGCCAUUAGCUCAGGUGGUUAGAGCGCACCCCUGAUAAGGGUGAGGUCCCUGGUUCAAGUCCAGGAUGGCCCAUUCGUUGUUGGGGGUAUAGCUCAGUUGGUAGAGCGCCUGCUUUGCAAGCAGGAUGUCAGCGGUUCGAGUCCGCUUACCUCCACUGAAAACUAUCCUGAUAACUAAAUUUCUGGAGAAAAAAAUUGUAGAUGUGGCUUAGAAUUGUCUAUUUGAAAAGAACCUAGCUUCUUGUCAUCUUCUUAUAGUUGAUAAAAUGCUGGGCUCGCAUGGAUUAUUUCCAUGAGAAUUCAGUAGAACCUUGAAAACUGCAUAGAUUAGAAAGAAUAAAGCAUCUCAUGGAUGCAUAGUUCUGUUUUUAUAAUUUAGCCUUAAAACUAAAUUAUUUAAUUCUAGAAUUCAUGUUUAAUUCUUGAGUAAUAGCCGAGCACAAUUGAUUUUGUGAUUGUAUUAAA
rnacentral:tRNA from 1 species